CUGGAGAUAAACCAACAUCCACCUAAAGUGCAGAAAAUUCUUCUUUACAUCAAACUAAGAUCCCCUUUAUUAUAACUCAGCAUUGAUGAAAAUCUAACUUCUGUGAUGGAAGCCUCCUAUACUAACAGAAGUAUGUUCUUCCAAUUAUAUAUUUUUCUUUCAAACUUGAGUUUGGAGAGAUCAAUGAGAGUGACAUUCCAAAAUAUAAAAGUGACAAAUAAGGUGUAAUUCUCAUUCUCAUUCACACCCCAUACCCUGGAAGCACCUUCACUGAAUCACAAUUUUCCUCUAUUUACCUAGCUGUUCUUAAAUUCCUUUUCACAGCACUUUUAACAUCAGGUCAGUGAAAGGUUUCUUACAUAGGAUUGUUUAUUCUUAUUCAUCCCCUCAUAAUUUUUUACUUGACUCUUACAACAGACCAAGAGCAAGAUGUUAUUACUUUCAUCUCCAGGAUCAGAAUACUACCAUCUAUGGGUGCCAUUGCCUCUUUCUCUGUUGAAACCCUUGUCUAGUUUUUCCUGGUUCCAGGAAUCAUGCUGUUAAAAUGUUGCUGCCUGCAGUGGGGUGGCCUGAUUUCUUGGCCAUGAGAGUGACAGGAAACCACACAUUAAAGGACUUUCCCUUGUGCUGCCUUAGGAAGAACCCCAGUAGGCCAGAUGGGCCACUUGGCUCUUUCUCAAGGAAGCAAAUGUUCAUAAUCUUAUUUCAUUCUGACUCUGUGAAGUUUAUUUGUAGAACAUAGCACUGCUCUAGAUAUAUGCCAUUACAGGUCAUAGUGAACUGGCUUAUGGGAUCUCCAGUAUGAAAAUACGUAUUUGGAUUUCAAACCAAUAACCAUUCAGACUGAGUUCUAGUUAUUUGCUCAUGAAAUAGGAAGUAAACACUUCAAUGGAAAUAGUAUUGUUCCUCUGCUUCCUGGACUCAGUGAGACAAUCGGGUUACAAAUAAAACCAGAAAGCCACGUAUAAUAAGGAAGAGAAGUGUGCUUUGGUGUUGUGGUAUACUGGAGUAUUUAUGAAGACAAGACAGAGGAAAGGACUUCACUGAAUAUAAAUAUAAAAAUACCAUCUGGUACAAUAUAAAUGCAGUUAUUCCUUGGUGUGCUGUGAAUCUACCACACAUGUUGGGUUUCCGACAGAUGGCCUAUCAGAAAAGAAUGCAGCCAUGGACAGAGACAACAUGUAUUAUAUGAUCAGAGAGUUCAGAGAGCACAACAGAAGAGGAAGAAGAAAGAAUCUAAGAGCUAGAAUGGAUGGAGGACAACAAGAAAACGAGUCCCUUCCAAUCAACAUGAGCUCAUCUAAACUCGAAGGACUGAAGCAGCAAGCACAGGGCCUGUGUACAUCUCCACCGGGCCAUCUACACUUAUAUUGUCGCUUCCAGUGUAAUACUUUUAUGGGAUUCCUGAGCAUGCAAAAAAAUGGAUUUCUGAUUCCUGUG